AAAAAGACAAACCCUGGUUUCCGUGCCCAAUGUUUGACCGUCCGUCUUAUUUAAAAAAAUAAUGAAAAAAAUUAAAAAGAUAAGUCACGCACAAAGUAUUAAUCAUGUUUUAUCAUCUAACAACAAUAAAAAUACGAAUUAUAAAAAAAAUUAUAUAAGACGGACAGUCAAAGUUGGACACACAAACCCAGGGUUUGCCUUUUU
rfam:Oryza sativa (indica cultivar-group) chromosome 1, whole genome shotgun sequence.